AGUUUCGCAAGGCAUGCUGGGUAUGCUACCCUUCCUUUUUUGGCGGUUUUACCUCGUAGUAACUUUCCAGAAAAACGAAAGGGUUAUGAUCAGAGAUUAUGUCAGUAAGUAUGAUAUUGUUUAAUUGACAACAUUGGCUGUGAAGUAUUCUCAUUUAAAUCACUGAUAAGCUGUGGUAUCGUUGUAUCCGAAUUCGAAUCGGAUAUAAAUACUCGUGACAAGCAUGGUUCGGUGGCAGCGAAUGCUAUGCUAUCGUCCAUAAACGUUGAAUAUACUAUUCAGAAAUCAGCAACGUUUAAGACGGUUUGUAGGUAGAGGGUAAAGUUUGCAGCGAAGGCUUUGCCGAUUAUUUUACUGUGAGGUUAACAUUACCAAAGUACAUUGUUAAGUUGGAUGUUAAGGUGUCAGCUGGCAUGGUAAGAGGCAUGAAAUCGCGGCCACUCUGCUUCGUUGUGGUGACACACGCAUCGGAUUAAACUGCAUGUAAACGUACUAGUACGUCUAAACUAACUAGUAUGUUUACAUGCAUGGCAUAUCAGAGAAUUCUGUCAGUUCGGUCGCGGCGCAACGAAUGAAUAAAGAUCGUUAGCACUCUGAAAAACAGAUGACAGAUGUGCCCUCAGUUACUACUUUAUUACCUCGUUGAUUUCCAACGUUUAGGAAAACAUGUACUUUUAAUUCACCCUUGGGUGAAAUCGAAGCGUAGUGUGUACUGAAUGCGUGUUGAUGAUGAUGCAUAUGAAUUGCAACUUACACGUCUUCCAAACCUUUUCAGUACCCUGGCACAUGCUUUGUCCAAUGGACCAUGGAAGGGACUUUACUUGGCUGACGAGGACGCACCUCACCAGUAUCAGAGCAACAGCUGUGGGGUGUUUAUGCUGAUGCCCUGCAGAACUAGCUGGCUCCUUCUCACCCUCUCCAUCUCCCCAUCUCAGUCACACCUUCCAAUCACUAAGCAGUGAAAGCCCUGCAGGACUAGCUGGCACACCAAGCUCACCCUCUCCAUCUCCCCAUCUCAGCCACACGCUCCAAUCUGGCACAACAGAGGACAGGCCAUUCUUACCACCCGAAGUCCUUCAGCAAAUUGUACAAGAGACGCUGAGACUGGACAUGGCGAUGCUUGGCGUGUUCAACAGGAUUUCAAACACAUUCCGAGAACUUAUCAAGCCUCUCCAUCAUUCCAUAUAUAUAAAUGACAGUUUGGCAGGGGACAUUAAGCUUAAUAAAGACAAUCUCAUAUACAUAACGGUUAGAAAGAUGCACAACAAUGCAGGCUGUGUCAGUGGCCUUGCGCUACGCCUCAAAGGCUUCUCAAAAAAGAAGAAUUGGCCUAGCGCACCCCUGGUACUGAGGCACGUUGCAUAUGCCAGGUUUGUCGUAAAAGAUGUCUGCCUAGCAUAAUGUUCUUUUAUUACUCCUUUUUCGUUUUAUUUGGGACGUCUUUUUUUGCAAUCCCUUUCAUUUGUAAAUGUACAUACUACUGUAGUAAAUGUAUCUGCCCAGAAAUGCUGGUAUUUUAUUACUCCUUUCUUUUUUGUUUUUGUGACAAAUGCUAUACGAUGUAUGUAACAUACAUUUGUGCCUACGAUGUAUGUUGUAAGGUUAAUUGUUACAGAGCAAUUACUGUAUUUUGUCUUUAUUGAAAACAUUCAGUGGGAAAAGUAAGUGAACACUUGGAGUCAAAUGGCCUACUGUUUGAGCCUUCAUAGUGUCUGGUAACUGGAUUUGAACUGCAUAAUGUCCCAAGUGUUAUUUUAAUCUAUUAAUUAUUUAAUUUGGGCAUAUUCUUAAACUAUACCAAACAUCUCACUUAUACCUAAUACACUACCUAUACUAACCCAGAAGAUAAUGAACAUGAGAUCAUGGAGCCUCCCUCCCUGUAAUGAGGGGGAAUGAAGUUUGGGCCGAGAUUCGACACAUAAAAGUAAGCUAACAUUCUGUAGGCCUAGCUGGCUAACGUACCCGUAUUACGAGAUCGAAAAAGAAGGGGGCGCUAACGUCAGUUCUAUGCUGCCAAUGCUACUAGAUCGACGAAGAAGAACGGGGCGUUCCAGCCUGCGUAGACGAAAACGCCCAUCACACGAGAA